UACGGAGGAUGCGAGCGUUAUCCGGAUUUAUUGGGUUUAAAGGGAGCGUAGGCGGAUGAUUAAGUCAGUUGUGAAAGUUCAAGGCUCAACCUUGAAAUUGCAGUUGAAACUGGUUAUCUUGAGUGCAGUAAAUGUGAGCGGAAUUCGUGGUGUAGCGGUGAAAUGCUUAGAUAUCACGAAGAACUCCAAUUGCGAAGGCAGCUCACAGGAGUGUAACUGACGCUGAUGCUCGAAAGUGUGGGAAUCAAACAGGAUUAGAUACCCUGGUAGUCCACACCGUAAACGAUGAAUACUCGCUGUUUGCGAUAUACAGUAAGCGGCCAAGCGAAAGCAUUAAGUAUUCCACCUGGGGAGUACGCCGGCAACGGUGAAACUCAAAGGAAUUGACGGGGGCCCGCACAAGCGGAGGAACAUGUGGUUUAAUUCGAUGAUACGCGAGGAACCUUACCCGGGCUUGAAUUGCAUCUGAAUAAUGGUAAAAGCCAUUAGCCGCAAGGCAGAUGUGAAGGUGCUGCAUGGUUGUCGUCAGCUCGUGCCGUGAGGUGUCGGCUUAAGUGCCAUAACGAGCGCAACCCUAAUUUCCAGUUACUAUCAGGUAAUGCUGAGGACUCUGGAGAGACUGCCGUCGUAAGAUGUGAGGAAGGUUGGGAUGACGUCAAAUCAGCACGGCCCUUACGUCCGGGGCUACACACGUGUUACAAUGGGUGGUACAGAAGGCAGCUACACGGCGACGUGAUGCUAAUCCCAAAAACCACUCUCAGUUCGGAUUGGAGUCUGCAACUCGACUCCAUGAAGCUGGAUUCGCUAGUAAUCGCGCAUCAGCCAUGGCGCGGUGAAUACGUUCCCGGGCCU
rnacentral:rRNA from 1 species